rnacentral:rRNA from 2 species
AAGGUUGACCUCGGAUCAGGUAGGGAUACCCGCUGAACUUAAGCAUAUCAAUAAGCGGAGGAA